rnacentral:rRNA from 1 species
UACGAAGGGUGCAAACGUUGCUCGGAAUCAUUGGGCGUAAAGCGCACGUAGGCGGCCUCAUAAGUCGGAUGUGAAAUCCCUCGGCUCAACCGAGGACGUGCAUCCGAAACUGUGAAGCUCGAGUAUGGAAGAGGGUCGCGGAGUUCCCGGUGUAGAGGUGAAAUUCGUAGAUAUCGGGAGGAACACCAGUGGCGAAGGCGGCGACCUGGGCCAAUACUGACGCUGAGGUGCGAAAGCGUGGGGAGCGAACAGG